rnacentral:rRNA from 1 species
ACAACUUUUAAUAAUAGAUCUCUUAGUUCUAGCAUUAAUAAAGAACGCAGCGAAAUGCGAUAAGUAGUGUGAAUUAUAGAAUUUAGUGAAUUAUUAAAUCUUUAAACGCACAUUGCGCCCCUUAGUAUUCUAUAGGGCAUGCCUGUUUAAGCGUUAUUUGUACCCUUAAGCUCUACUUGGUGUUAGGUGUUUGUUCUACUUAGGACUUGCCUUAAAACAAUUGGCAGCUAGCAUAUUAGCCUAGAGCGCAGCAUAUUUUGCGCCUCUUAUUAUAGUUAUUAGUAUCUAUUAAGACACUUUUUAAGCUCUUAACCUUAGAUUAGGUAGGGAUACCCGCUAAACUUAAGCAUAUUAAUAAGCGGAGGAAAAGAAACUAACAGGGAUUGCCCUAGUAAUGGCGAGUAAAGCGGCAACAGCUCAAAUUUAAAAUCUAGCUCUUUUAGGGUCUAAGUUAUAAUUUGCAGAGGGCGCUUUAGCGUUAGCAGUAGUCUAAGUUCCUUAGAAUAGGACGUUACAGAGGGUAAGAAUCCUGUACGUAGUUGCUAGCCUUCGCCGUGUAAAGCCCCUUUAACAAGUUAAGUUAUUUAGGAAUACAGCUCUAAAUAGGAGGUAAAUUUCUUCUAAAGCUAAAUACUAGCUAGAGACUAAUAGCGUAUAAGUAGAGUAAUUAAAAGAUAAAAAGCACUUUAGAAAGAGAGUUAAAUAGCACGUGAAAUUGUUAAAAGGGAAGCGCUUACAGCUAGACUUGCCUGUAGUUGCUUAUCUAGGCUUUUGUCUAGUGCACUCUUCUAUAGGCAGGCUAGUAUUAGUUUAGGCAGUUAGAUAAAGGUCUCUAUUAUGUACCUCCCUUUAGGGAGGCCUUAUAGGGGAGACGACAUGCAACCAGCCUAGACUAAGGUCUACGCAUCUGCUAGGAUGCUAGCGUAAUAGCUGUAAGCGGCCUAUCUUAAAACAUAGACUAAGGAGUCUAAUAUCUAUGCAAGUGUUUAGGUGUUAAGCCUAGACGCGUAAUAAAAGUGAAUAGAGGUGGGACCCCUUUUAGGGUGCACUAUUAACCAAUCCUAAUGUCUUUAGAAGGAUUUAAGUAAGAGCAUAGCUAUUAGGACCUAAAAGAUAGUAAACUAUACUCAAAUAGGGUAAAGCUAGAGGAAACUCUAGUAGAGGCUCGCAGCAGUUCUAACGUGCAAAUUAAUUGUUAAAUUUAGGCAUAGGGGCGAAAGACUAAUUAAACUAUCUAGUAGCUAGUUCCUACUAAAGUUUCCCUUAGGAUAGUAGUAACGUAUUUAGUUUUAUAAGGUAAAGCGAAUAAUUAGAGGCCUAGGGGUUAAAACAACCUUUACCUAUUCUUAAACUUUAAAUAUGUAAGAAGUUCUUAUUACUUAAUUAAACGUGGACACUUGAAUGUACUAUUACUAGUGGGCCAUUUUUAGUAAGUAGAACUAGCAAUGCAGGAUAAACUAAACGCAGGGUUAAGGUGCUAGAAUGCACGCUUAUUAGACACUACAAAAGGUAUUAGUUUAUCUAGAUAGCAGGACAGUGGCUAUAGAAGUUAGAAUCUGCUAAGGAGUGUGUAAUAACUUACCUGCUAAAUAAACUAGCCCUAAAAAUAGAUGGCGCUUAAGCGUGUUACCUAUACCCCGCCGCUAGGGCAAGAUUUAAGCCCUAGCAAGUAGGCAGGCGUAGAGGCUCGUGACGAAGCCUUAGGGGUAACCCUAGGUAGAAUGGCCUCUAGUGCAGAUCUUAGUAGUAGUAGUAAAUACUUAAAUAAGAACUUUAAGGACUAAAGUAGGGAAAGGUUCCGUGUGAAUAGCAGUUAGAUAUAGGUUAGUUAAUCCUAAGAGAUAGGGUAAUUCUAUUUUAAUGUUAGCGCUUACGCCGCACCCUUAAAAGGGAAGCUAGUUAAUAUUCUAGCACCUAGAUGUAGAUUCUCUGCGGCAACGUAACUAAGAGCGGAGACCUUAGCAGGAGCCCUAAGAAGAGUUCUCUUUUCUUCUUAAUAGUCUGUUACCCUAAAAUUAGUUUAUCUAGAGCUAGGGUUUAAUAGCUAGAAGAGCGCUACACUUUUGCAGUAUUUAGUGCACUCCUAACAAGCCUUAAAAAUCUACUUAAAGAAAUAGUUUUUACGCUAGGUUAUACUUAUAACUAUAGCAGGUCUCUAAGGUAAAAAGCCUCUAGUUAAUAGAAUAAUGUAGAUAAGGGAAGUUAGCAAAAUAGAUCUGUAACUUUAGGAAAAGGAUUAGCUCUAAGGGUUAGGUACGUUAGGCCUUAGGGAGAAGCCUCUAGCGCAGAAGGGCACUAACCGUAAGGUAGGCGCCUCUUAGCGCUAGGGUGCAGACACCCUUAGCAGGUUUUAGCUGUCUGGCGUACGUUUAACAACUAACUUAGAACUAGUAUAGAUAAGGGGAAUCUAACUGUCUAAUUAAAAUAUAGCAUUGCAAUAGCUAGAAAGUAGUGUUAACGCAAUAUGAUUUCUGCCUAGUGCUCUAAAUAUUAAAGCAAAGAGAUUUAACUAAGCGCGGGUAAAUAGCAGGAGUAACUAUAACUCUCUUAAGGUAGCUAAAUACCUUAUUAUCUAAUUAGUAACGCGCAUAAAUGGAUUAACGAGAUUCCUACUAUCUCUAUCUACUAUCUAGCGAAACUAUAGCUAAGGGAACAGGCUUAGCUAAAUUAGCAGGGAAAGAAGACCCUAUUAAGCUUAACUCUAGUUUAACAUUAUAAAAAGACAUAGGGGGUGUAGAAUAGGUGGGAGCUUUAGCGCUAGUAAAAUACUACUACCCUUAUUGUUUUUUUACUUAUUUAAUAAAGCAGAGCUAGGCCUUACUACCUAACUUCUAGCGUUUAAGGUCCUUUGUGGGCUAAUCUAGGUUAAAGAUAUUGUUAGGUAGGGAGUUUAGCUAGGGCGGUAUAUCUAUUAAACUAUAAUGCAGGUGUCCUAAGGGGGACUUAUAGAGAACAGAAAUCUCUAGUAGAGCAAAAGGGCAAAAGUCCCCUUAAUUUUGAUUUUUAGUGUAAAUACAAACCAUAAAAGUGUGGCCUAUUAAUCCUUUAGUCCCUUAAAAUUUAAGGCUAGAGGUGCUAGAAAAGUUACUACAGGGAUAACUAGCUUGUGGCAGCUAAGCGUUCAUAGCAACGUUGCUUUUUGAUCCUUUAAUAUUAGCUCUUCCUAUUAUACUAAAGUAGAAUUUAGUAAGCGUUAGAUUAUGCACCUACUAAUAGGGAACGUGAGCUAGGUUUAGACCGUCGUAAGACAGGUUAGUUUUACCCUACUAAUAACCUUGCCCUAAUAGUAAUACCGCUUAGUACGAGAGGAACCGCAGUUUUAGAUAAUUAGUUUUUACAGCUAUCUAACUAGGUAUUGCUGUAAAGCUACUAUCUACUAGAUUAUAGCUAAACGCCUCUAAGUUAGAAUCUAUGCUAGAACAGGGUAAUUUCCGCCUGCACUAGUUAGAUACAAAUAGGCCUUUAGCCCAGAACCUUACUAGAUUAGCGUUAGUAGCCCUAUUAAAGUUAGAGUUGUUAGCUAGUGUAUUAUAAUUGUAUAGUGCGCAGGAU